rnacentral:lncRNA from 1 species
CUCCGCUGCGCCACGCUCUGGACCGCCAGCGCCUGCGGCUUCAUGGGGUACGCCCACUACAAGGACCUUGUCCAACGUGGUCUCUUCCCUCUCAAAGGUAUAUACGGGCAUAUGGCAGAAAAAAAUGAGUAAACAAAGAAAUUACCCACUUGAGAUCGAUGAUGAAAGUUCCGUUUUGGGUGCAGACGAGGCGCAGUUGAGCAAUGGGUACCUGGACACGACAGUGGACUGGAUACCGGGGUUGCCGAAGGACCUGCGGCUGCGGGACUUGCCAAGCUUCGUG